rnacentral:rRNA from 1 species
GACGAACGCUGGCGGCGUGCUUAACACAUGCAAGUCGAACGGUAAGGCCCUUCGGGGUACACGAGUGGCGAACGGGUGAGUAACACGUGGGUGAUCUGCCCUGCACUUCGGGAUAAGCCUGGGAAACUGGGUCUAAUACCGGAUAGGACUCCGGACUGCAUGGUCUGGGGUGGAAAGCUUUUGCGGUGUGGGAUGGGCCCGCGGCCUAUCAGCGUGUUGGUGGGGUGAUGGCCUACCAAGGCGACGACGGGUAGCCGGCCUGGGAGGGUGACCGGCCACACUGGGACUGAGAUACGGCCCAGACUCCUACGGGAGGCAGCAGUGGGGAAUAUUGCACAAUGGGCGCAAGCCUGAUGCAGCGACGCCGCGUGAGGGAUGACGGCCUUCGGGUUGUAAACCUCUUUCAGCAUCGACGAAGCGAAAGUGACGGUAGGUGCAGAAGAAGGACCGGCCAACUACGUGCCAGCCGCCGCGGUAA